rnacentral:rRNA from 1 species
UACGGAGGGUGCAAGCGUUAUCCGGAUUUACUGGGUUUAAAGGGUGCGUAGGUGGGCAGGAAAGUCAGUGGUGAAAUCUUCAAGCUUAACUUGGAAACUGCCAUUGAUACUAUUUGUCUUGAAUUAUCUGGAGGUAAGCGGAAUAUGUCAUGUAGCGGUGAAAUGCUUAGAUAUGACAUAGAACACCAAUUGCGAAGGCAGCUUACUACACAACGAUUGACGCUGAGGCACGAAAGCGUGGGGAUCAAACAGG